UACGUAGGGUCCGAGCGUUGUCCGGAAUUACUGGGCGUAAAGAGCUCGUAGGUGGUUUGUCGCGUUGUUCGUGAAAUCCCACGGCUUAACUGUGGGCGUGCGGGCGAUACGGGCAGACUGGAGUACUGCAGGGGAGACUGGAAUUCCUGGUGUAGCGGUGGAAUGCGCAGAUAUCAGGAAGAACACCCGUGGCGAAGGCGGCUCUCUGGGACGGUACUGACGCUGAGACGCGAAAGCGUGGGGAGCGAACAGG
rnacentral:rRNA from 1 species